rnacentral:rRNA from 1 species
UACGGGGGGAGCAAGCGUUGUUCGGAUUUACUGGGCGUAAAGGGCGCGUAGGCGGCGCAACAAGUCACUUGUGAAAUCUCCGGGCUUAACCCGGAGCGGCCAAGUGAUACUGUCGUGUUAGAGUGCGGAAGGGGCUACUGGAAUUCUCGGUGUAGCGGUGAAAUGCGUAGAUAUCGAGAGGAACACCUGCGGCGAAGGCGGGUAGCUGGGCCGACACUGACGCUGAGGCGCGAAAGCCAGGGGAGCGAACGGG